GCGGUGGUAGUUCAGUUGGCUAGAAUAUUUCCUUGCCAAGGAAAAGGUCGCGGGUUCGAAUCCCGUCCACCGCU
rnacentral:tRNA from 1 species